CAGAGCACAGCACCAAAUUCCUUCUGAAGCCGUUUGUGAGGAAGGAAAUGAAUCAGGAAAAAUAGAGCCACAGCUAAGUUCUGUUUCCGACACAAAGGUGGAGGCCAGAUAUUAUAAACCUCUGCCCCUUUUCAUUUUCUUUGGUGAUUCUCUGGGAAUUUCAAAGAUUCCAGACUCAUAUUUGGUAGCACAUUGAUUUACGAUGGAAACACAUAAAAAGAAUGGGUCUCACGACUGGCCGUUUAUCAAUAUGACAAGGAAGUGACCUAGAAGCCUAGCACACCUUCGGGGUUCCAGGAUUUCUUGUCUCUGGAGAUGGGCGGACUCGAGGUCGGUGCCGCCGUAGGAAGCUGGUGCAUCGUGGGAGAUAGAAGAAAGCAGCAAGCUGGCUGUUGGCUGUGUGCCCAGAGACCCGAGUUCUUUGGGCACUGAGCUCAGAAGAAGCAAUGCCACAGACUUUUAAUACCAUAAAUCAGUGAGUUGCUUUGUUAUGUCUCCCCACUCGCUGUGAAACAGGGACACCUCUUUUUCCCUUAUUCAGAAGAGAGAGAGCCUGUGGUACAUCAGAUUACCAAGUGAACGAGGAGUCUUUGGGGUACUGCAAGUCUGUGUUGUUAUUGAUACUUUGCUGCACACUUGAGUGCUUGGUAUGAGGUGCUGAUGUUCUGGGGGGAGGUGGCGGGUGAAGCUUUGCUGCUGCUUAUGCGUGGGGUGAGCUGGGGUAGGACUUUGGGGUUGUAACAUUUAACUGUCAUUCAUUCUUUGGGGUUCUCCUCUGUUUUCAUGGAUGCUUGUGAAGAAAAAGAAUUUCAGGAUGUAUAUGUAUACAUUUCUCUGACAUUAAAUGUACCUUUGAAACUUUGAACAAGGUGCUUUCGCCCACAGUACUACACUCAAUUGGGUUUUUUGCAUCAUUCUCUAUAAACUCUAGACACAGUUCUUUUCCAAUAUUUCUAAUUACAUAUAAUAGAGUAUAAGAAAAAAAUAUAUAUCUCAAUACAUUAUAUUAAACUGCAUAUAAAGACUCCUUACCCUAUAUUCAUACAGAUUAAUUCAUAACAUUGAAAUAUAGCAAUUUUAUUAUAUAGAAAAAUCUAACCCACUACCAAGACCAAAGCUGAUUAGUAAAGAAAAAAAGGAAAAAAAUAGUCAUCAUCAGUGCUUUAACAGCAAAUCAAAGGUUUUGAAAAUAAUUCAAAAAAGAUCGCCACAAUGUUUGAAAGUCUUGACCAGAUUCAGAGAUUGAACAUCGAAUCUUCUCUAAAUUUAAACAUGACAUCACAUAGCCAUUGGGCAUGAGUAGGAGGGGCCACAUCUUUCCAUUUAAGCAAGAACAUCCUUCUGGCCAUGAGAAAUAAAAGCCAAACUGUGCAAGUCAGAUGACUCCAAAAUAAUAUCCUUUCCUCCAAAAAUACCAAUUAAAGCAGACAAAGGAUUAGGCUUAAAGUUUAUUUUGAGAAGUAUCAAGAAAGUUUGAAAUACUUCUUUCCAAUAUUUUCCAAGACUCGGACAUGUCCAAAACAUAUGAAUGACUGAAGUGUCUCCAUUAUUACAUUUAUCACAGUACAGAGAUGUAUCUAAAUAAAAAUGAGACAACUUAUCCUUGGUCAUAUGGGCCCUAUGGACCACUUUAAAUUGUAGGAGAGAGAGUGUUGUUUAUGAAAAUCCCAGGAAAUCAGCAGUUUCUGAGAUACUCAAAUCAUCUUAUCUGGCACCAACAAUCACACAACAGUCAAAGUCACUCAGAGCAUAUUUCUUCCCUCAUUCUGAUGUUUGGUCUGAGCAACACCGUCUGCAUGCUUUGUGCAUUGAGUUUCCACCACAUGAUUGAUUAAUAGAAUCAAGUGGGUGUGCAGGUGCACUUAAUAAAGUGGUCAUUGAAUGUUUAUCUCAUUCUCAUUACUGAGUGCUGUCCCAUAAGAAUGUUGAAAAUCCUGGUGAAGAGCCAACAACCAAAUGUUUUGUUAUAAGUCACAGUGGAAUUGUACACCUCAAUGAUUAUUCCUCUUGACUUUGCAAUGACAUGUAGUCACUCAUGGAACAGGAGCUGAUAGGGCCAAUUAACCAAGGACAGCAAGGUACUGGUGCUCAAUUAUGGUGAAUGCCAGUAAAUAAUGCAGGUGCAUGAUCUCAAGCCUAAAUGUCAACCCCCAUAGAAAGUCACUUCCUGUAAUUUUGUAUUUUGCCUAAAUGCUUAACUGCAGAACCUUAAACAGUUUAAAAUAAUCUGAACCUCUAGAAUAUGUCAUUCAGCCCAUUAAAUCUGUGGUGCCAUUUUGUUGAGCAUUUAGCUGUAUUUUCUUAAACAAAACUUUCUCUCCUUUAUUCUCUUCUCCUGAUUUCUAAUGUACCUAUCACCUUCUUAUGAAAUUCAUAUUAAGGCAGCAGCCAAAGCUCAUCUAGGGAGAUAUAUUUAAUGUUUCACCUGUACCUUUUUCUAAAGUAAUUUUUUUUAACAUUUAGACCACAUUUUCUUUAAUCAGAGACAGGUUUCCUAUAACUGGUUAAUUUCUGAUCAUAUAUUUGUGGCCUAUUACCUAGACCACAAGCUGCUUGUUCGCAAUGUCAUCCGGAUUGGAAGAUGUACAGCCAUUGCCCACAGAAUGCCUGAAAGACAUCCAAUCCAAUAUAGAGUUAGGACAUUUCUCAAAUAUCAGUAAUGAUCAAAUGAAACAGGUGUUAGGCCCUUUUACUGUGCCACGCCCCACAGGUCUGCUGGUAUAAAUCAGUGCCAAAAAACUGCAGGAUUUUCUCUUUAAAGAAAGGCAGCAAGGACAAAAGUAUUAUUCCACAUCGGUACUGGUUACUAUAAAAGCUGUGAUCACCCUAUCCCUUCCUCUCAGCCUCAGUAAACUAUGUGAAUACAAGUAGAUCGAAUGGAGUGUACUAUUUUUCCCCUGAUUUCACUAAUACCUGGGUAUAAUGUGGCUAAAACACCUGGGCCUUACUGAGUACAUCCUUAGACUUUGUGGAAGGCUAGAGAAGAAAUUAUUGAGUCCCUUGCAGAGAUAUUUGCUUCUUCAUUUGCUUCAUCACUGAGGAAGUUCUUGAAAAGCAGGAAGUGGCUAAUGAAGUUCUGUUUUUUUAACAAAGGUAGAAAGAAUAAACUAGGAAACUACAGGUUAGUCAGCCUGGAAUCAGCAAAGGGGAAGUUAUGGGAGGGAAUUCUGAGGGAUAGGACCUACCAGCAUUUAGAUCGUUAGAGCUUGAUUAGGAAGAGUCAGCACGGCUUUGUGCGUUGAAAGUCAUGACAAGUAAAGUUAGGGCAGUAGAUGUUGUCUAUUUGGACUUUAGCAAGGCCUUCAACAAGGGUCCCACAAUGGUAGGUUGGUAUAGAAGGUUAGAUCCCAUGGAAUCCAGGGUGUGCUAAAAAAGGUGGAUUGGAGGUAGAAAACAGGGGAUGGUUGUUGACGGUUCUUCCUCAGAAUAGAGAUGAGUAACAAAUGGUUUGCUGCUGGGAUUGGUGUUGGGACCCUUGUUAUUCACAAUGUAUGCAUGGAGUUGAAAGGGAUGAGGUAGAUCUUAAAUGAAUUGUUUGCAUCUGUAUAUACUCAGCAGCCAAGACUCAGAGUCUGUAGAAGUGAGGCAAAACAGCAGUGAGUUCUCAGAUCACAGAGGAGGGGGUGCUUGCCGUCUUGAGGCUAAUUAGGGUGGAUAAAUUUCCAGGGGCUGGCAAAAUGUUCCUUUGGACAUCGUGGGAGGCUAGUGUAGUAAUUGCAGCGGCCCUAGCAGAGGUAUUUAAAACGUCCUUAGCCACAGGUGGGGUGCCAGAGGAUAGGAAGAUUACUAAUACUGUUCCUUUGUUUAAAAAAGACCCUAAAAGUAAGCUAGGAAAUUAUAUCCUGGUGAGCCUGAUAUCAUUAGUGGGUAAUUUAUUGUAAAUAUUUCUAACGGACAAGAUAUAUGAGUAUUUAAAUAGAUAGGGAAUAAUUAUGGAUAAUCAUCAUGAUUUUGAGCAUGCUAGGUCAUCUCUAGCUAAUCCUAUAAAGUUUUUCGAGGAAUUUUAUGAGGAAAGCUGAUGAAGGAAAGGCAGUGGAUGAUGUUUAUGUGGACAUUAGAAAGACCUACGUGGAAGGUCAGUCAAGAAGGUUCGGUCACUUGGCAUUCAGGAGAGGUAGCAAAUUGGAUUAGACAUUAGCUUCACAGUAGAAGAUAGAGUGUGGUAGUAAUAGUUGCUUUGUUGACUGGAGGCUUGUGACUAGUGGAGUGCCACAGGGAACAGUGCUGAGUCUGUUAUUAUUUGUCAUCUAUAUCAAUGAUCUGGAUAUAAUGGUGCAAACUGGAUGAGCAAAUUUGCAGAUGGCGGCAUGGUGGACAGCAAGGAAGGCUAUCAAAGCCUGCAGCAUGAUCUAGACGAGCUCGAAAAAUGGCAAAUGGAAUUUAAUGCAGAUAAGUGUGAAGUGUGCACUUUGGGGGACAAACCAGGGUAGGACUUACACAACAGCUAAUAGGAUAAUGUGAAGUGUGGUAGAACAAAAGGAUUUUCCAUAAUUUCAUUAUUUCCUGAAAGUGGCAUCACAGGUAGAUAGGGCUGUAAAGAGAGCUUUUAGCACAUUGGUCUUCAUAAAUCAAAUUAUUGAGUACAGGAGUUAGGAUGUUGUGUUGAAGUUGUACAGUGUAAGACAUUGAUGAGGCCUAAUUUAGUGUGUACAAUAGUUGUCACCUACAUACUGUUCAUGAAAGGGAGUAGAGAUAGACCAGGAAAUUAUAGAUCAGUGAAUCUUACUUCAGUGGUUGGUAAGUUGAUGGAGAAGAUCCUGAGAGGCAGGAUUUAUGAACAUUUGGAGAGGUAUAAUAUGAUUAGGAAUAGUCAGCAUUGCCUUGUCAAAGGGAGGUCAUGCCUUACAGGCCUGACUGAAUUUUUUGAGGAUGUGACUAAACACAUUGAUGAAGGUAGAGCAGUGGAUGUAGUGUAUAUGGAUUUCAGCAAGGCAAUUGAUAAGGAACUCCAUGCAAGGCUUAUUGAGAAAGUAAGGAGGUAUGGGAUCCAAGUGGACAUUGCUUUGUGUAUCCAGAACUGGCUUUCCCACAGAAGGCAAAGAGUGGUUGUAGACGGGUCAUAUUCUGCAUGGAUGUCGGUGACCAGUGGAGUGUCUCAGGGAUCUGUUCUGAGACCCCUUCUGUUCAUGAUUUUUAUAAAUGACUUGGAUGAGGAAGUGGAGGGAUGGGUUAUUAAUUUUGCUGAUGAUACAAAGGUUGGGGGUGUUGUGGAUAGUGUGGUGCCAGAGAUUACAGAGGGGCAUUGAUAGGAUGCAAAACUGGGUUGAGAUGUGGCAGAUGUAGUUCAACCCAGAUAACUGUGAGGUGGUUCAUUUUGGUAGGUCAAAUAGGAUGGCAGAAUAUAGCAUUAAUGGCAAGACUCUUGGCAGUGCGGAGGAUCAGAGGGAUAUUGGGGUCCGAAUCCAUAAGACACUCAAAGCUGCUGCGUAAGUUGACCAUGUGAUUAAGAAGGCAUACAGUGUAUUGGCCUUCAUCAACUGUGGGAUUGAGUUCAAGAGGCCGAGAGGUAAUGUUACAGCUAUAUAGGACCCUGGUCAGACUCCACUUGGAGUAUUGAGCUCAGUUCUGGUCACCUCACUAUAGGAAGGAUGUGGAAACAAUAGAAAGGGUACAAAGGAGAUUUACAAGGAUUUUGCCUGGAUUGGCGAGCAUCCCUAAUGAGAAUAGGUUGAGUGAACUUGGCCCUUUCUUGGAGCGAACGGAGGAUGAGAGGUGACCUGAUAGAGGUGUAUCAGAUGAUGAGAGGCAUUGAUCGUGUGGAUAGUUGGAGGCUUCUUCCCAGGGCUGAAAUGACUAACAUGAGAGGGCACAGUUUUAAGGUGCUUGGAAGCAGGUACAGAGGAGAUGUCAGGGGUAAGUUUUUUACGCAGAGCUGGCUACAGUGGUGGAGGUGUAUUCUAUAGGAUCUUUUAAGAGGCUCCUGGACAGGUACAUGGAGCUCAGAAAAAUAGAGGUCUAUCGGUAACACUAGGUAAUUUCUAAAGUAAGUACGUGUUCUGCACAGCAUUGUGGCUGAAAGGGCCUGUAUUGUGCUGUAGGUUUUCUAUGUUUCUAUGUAAGAUAUCAAUAAGUUUGAAAGAGCGUAGCAAAAAUUUACAAGGAUUUUGCUGGGACUUGAGGACCUGAGUGAUAGUGAAUGGUUGAAAUAGGUUAGGACUUUAUUUCCUGAGGCAUAGCAGAAUGAGGGGAGGCUUGGUAGAGGUAUAUAAAGUUAGGAGGAGUAUAGGUAGGCUAAAUGCCUACAUUUUCUACUGAGGUUGGGUGAGACUAGAACUAGAGGUCAUGGGUUAAGGGUGAAAGUGAAAUGUUUAAAGGGAACAUGAGGGGGAGCUUCUCCACUCAGAAGGUAAUGAGAGUGUAGAAUCAGCUGCCAGUGGAAAUGGUAGAUACAGGUUUGAUCACAACAUUUAAGAGAAAUUUGGAUACGUACAUGGUUGGGAGGAUGUGGAGGGUUAAUGUCUGGGUGCAGGUUGACAGGAUUAGGCAGAUAAUAGUUUGACAUGAUCUAGAUGGGCUAAAGGGCCUGUUUUGUGACAUUGAUACAAAUGCAGAAAGGUUUAUCAGUAAGUUAGAGGAUGACACAAAUUUAGGAGGUUUUGUUGAUAGUGGAGAAAGUUAUUAUAGAUCCUGGGGAAUUACACCUUCAGAAAAUGAUGCUGUUAAGUGGCGAUUCUUUGCAUGCAGUUCCAAUGGGAAUUGUGCUUCAAUACUUCAAUGAUAUUUGAGUGAUUUUGUCAAUAUAUUGCUUGAUUAAGCAUUUUUGUUUGUUUAAGUGAUUAAUUACGGGUUAUAUGUAAAGAUAUAUGAAUUGCAUAUGUCAUCACCCUACACUGUGAUACGUGUGCACCUUGCUUAAAGUAAACUCAUGGAUAGACCUCCA